AUAAGCCUGUACUUGCAGAUUUCAGGACCAGUCCACCAAUUUCACAAAAAGCGCUUUCAGUCCUGAAAACAUCACAGAUAUUAUACGUGUACUUGGUCACAAUGCUAACAGUCCUUCGCCAGUCCGAACACGACCUGGAGAUCAGGUCAGAUUUAACAUCCCGAGAAGCUCCGGGACUCCGGAAGUCGAGGGCCUUAUGAACUCUUGUUUCCUCGUCCAAAAGCUGCAAUUAAUUUUCUCAAAACCAAGUGGCAAGACCAAGUCCCUCCUGUUUCACACCGAGACCAGAACUUAAUAAAACAGGUGAAGCACCUCCGAGCUGAAAUCCAGCGGGACGUUGGCAAUAAUGCGUAUUUACUGCACUGACACCCUCCUGGCUCUGUUAGCCACCACUGCACACAGACGGCUCUCCCAUGGAGCUCCACAAAGGUGGCCUCCAAAUUCAGAUGGCCACAUCUAAUGGAGAAUACAGGAGCACAUUCAAUUCUCCAGAUUACAGUUUUACUUCCUUUUUCUCAAACAGCAGGACUCUAACUCUUUAAAAUUAUAUUAAUGAACCUUUAAAGCUGAUUUGUCAAGAACUGCAAUUUUUGUCCCCAAAACCACUAACAAAAGCUCCAAACACCUAUGCAAAGCAUCAGUUUAGUAUUAUUUACCAGGGAAAAUUGACCAGUGCUUGUAUUUUUAGGAACAUAUUUUUAAAAUCAAAAAUGUGACUACAAACCCAACCCCCAAUGUACACGUCUAGGUGCUCCUUUCACUACUGCACAUUAAGGGUAAUUCUACUGUUAUCACUGAAAUUACAGUGAUGCAGAAGUGACAUUACUAAAAGAAAAAUAAAGCCCUGAGUCUUUUUUGAGA